UACGUAGGGUCCGAGCGUUGUCCGGAAUUAUUGGGCGUAAAGGGCUCGUAGGCGGUUCGUCACGUCGGGAGUGAAACCUCGAGGCUUAACCUCGAGCCUGCAUUCGAUACUGGGCGGCUAGAGUCUGGUAGGGGGAUCUGGAAUUCCUGGUGUAGCGGUGGAAUGCGUAGAUAUCUGGAGGAACACCGGUGGCGAAGGCGGCAUCCUGGACCGAUAUUGACGCUGAUGCGCGAAAGCCAGGGGGGCAAACGGGG
rnacentral:rRNA from 1 species